rnacentral:rRNA from 1 species
UACGUAGGGUGCAAGCGUUGUCCGGAAUUAUUGGGCGUAAAGAGCUCGUAGGCGGUUUGUUGCGUCGGCUGUGAAAUCCCGAGGCUCAACCUCGGGUCUGCAGUCGAUACGAGCAAACUAGAGUGUUGCAGGGGAGACUGGAAUUCCUGGUGUAGCGGUGAAAUGCGCAGAUAUCAGGAGGAACACCGGUGGCGAAGGCGGGGUCUCUGGG